AGAGAAGCGACCUCGCGAGAGCAAGCGGACCUCAUAAAGUAUGUCGUAGUCCGGAUUGGAGUCUGCAACUCGACUCCAUGAAGUCGGAAUCGCUAGUAAUCGUAGAUCAGAAUGCUACGGUGAAUACGUUCCCGGGCCUUGUACACACCGCCCGUCACACCAUGGGAGUGGGUUGCAAAAGAAGUAGGUAGCUUAACCUUCGGGAGGGCGCUUACCACUUUGUGAUUCAUGACUGGGGUGAAGUCGUAACAAGGUAACCGUAGGGGAACCUGCGGUUGGAUCACCUCCUU
rnacentral:rRNA from 1 species